AUGCAGAUUAUGAAGUGCUGGCCGAAGGGCAGCUGGAACUCAGGUCUGGAUGGGAGGCAGCAGCUGCCCCGUGCCAGCCAGAGGCCUCAGCACAGAGCUUCAGAACCUGCAGAUGUAAUGGAGAUGUGGGAGCAAUCUGGGAACAGAGAAUUGUUUGAAAGAGACGUCUCUGACUUCACCCCUUUUGAGGUUUUGCUCACUCAGAGCCUGUCCCUGGUGCAGUGAUCCAGUGUCAGGCUGAGCUCUGUGCUAGUCCAUACAGGUAUUCUAUCAACUGGGAUGUAAUGGUGCCACAUUUUUCCAUUUUUGCUACAUGUUGUUCUUCCUGCCCUUGUGUGGGUUAUGUUGUCCUGGCAGAGACUGACAUUAACACUGACCUCAUUAACAUUCUUUAUUUCUUUUUUAGAUAACUGAAAUUUCACAUUACAGCAAGAUGGAGGCGAGGGGGAGGAAAAGUCAGCUGUUUUCCAGUAUGAUUGUGUUCUUAUGUUUUGUCUCUUAUCAAAAGAAUUACUGUCAGCAAGAAAACUCUCUGUGCCUUAGAAGUGCAUGUACUCACAGCACAUACCCAAGGAGGAGCAGGAGCUGGAAACAGGCAGUGCUGGGGUCACAGUGUCUCAGAACAGCCACUGGUUGAUGGAUAUCUCCAUAUUCACAUGGAGCCACAGGGCUAGUUCUAAACAAAUAAAAAAUAACAAAACUGUGAUCCCA
rnacentral:lncRNA from 1 species